GUCAUGUGCGUGAUAUGCAUUUCGUGUUGUUCCAAGAGAUAUUGCGAUUUCAUGUGAUACAAGUGGCCUUGUUAUUUGCAUAUUAUCAUAGAACUAGAUUAAACAAAAGAAGACGUGGCACGAGAGCCCUAAAAUAUGAGAUAGUAAGUAAGAUGCCCGACUAAGAAAAACAUUUACGCCGUCUAGUUGGUCUCAACGAUGUUGAUUGUAUUUCCAACCUUCGUAUGGACCGUAGGACUUUUGCUAGGCUUUGUGUGAUUUUGCGUGAGCGGGGAGGUUUGGUUGAUGGCCGGUUCGUUACAGUGGGAACAAAUAGCAAUGUUCCUUUCAGUUUUAGCCCACCAUAAAAAAAAUAGAGUAGUUCGGUUCGACUUUUGGAGAUCCGGUCAAACUAUCUCGCACUACAUACAUGCCGUAUUAGGGGCAAUUAUACGGAUUCAUGAUUUGUUCCUAGCCAUACCCGAGGUUGUUCCCAGCGGAUUGCAUUGAUCCACGGUGGCGGUGGUUCAAGGGCUGUUUAGGGGCCUUAGACGGCACGUAUGUCAGUGUCAUGGUUGGUAAUGACGACAAACCCCGAUGUAGGACAAGGAAAUGACAGAUAUCAACGAAUGUUCUAAGUGUUUGUGAUCGAAAUUUGAAUUUCAGUUACGUUCUAACCGGUUGGGAAGGAUCGGCUGCGGACUCUAAAAUCUUACGAGAUGCCAUUAAUAGACCUCAUGUCUAAGGGUCCCAAAGGGUAUACAAUAUUAUUGUCUAAUAGAUUCAAUACUUAGAUAUGUUGAUAUCAUUGCAUGAACAUUAAUUGAUAUUUUUACUUCAUUGCUACAUUGCUAGGGAAGUACUACUUGUGUGACAACAGUUAUGCUAAUAGUGAUGGUUUCCUAACGCCGUUCAAUGGCGUUAGAUACCAUUUAAAAGAGUAGGGACCAAGCACUGCACAACCACAAAAUAAAGAACUUUUUAACUUGAGACAUAGUAAGGCAAGAAACGCGAUUGAGAGAGCCUUUGGCAUAUUGAAGAAGAGAUGGGGUAUUCUUAGAUCACCCUCAUUUUAUCCAAUUCAAGUACAAAAUAGACUUAUAAUGGCAGCCUUUUUACUCAACAUUUUUGUCGGAUGGAGAUGCCUGUCGAUCCUGUAGAACAACAGCUAGAUGCUAUGCCUCAAGAUAACAGUGCAGCCUUAGAUCCACCACCUGAUGAAUUCAUAGAUCAUGUUGAUAGUUCUCCCCAAUGAAACACGGCGAGGAAUACCUUGGCCGAAGCCACGUGGGUGCAAUAUUUGAAUAAUAAUUAGGAUGGACGCUGCUUCCGAGGUGUCAACGCCAACUCCUCAGUGUAGUUGUGGCAACAGAACCAUGAAGCUUAAGUGCGCCGGCUAUGGA